GCGCCUCUGCGUUCUGAUUCUAUGGAACCUUUUUGUAGGGAGAAGGGCAGGAUGUUUUUAACUGAAUGUGACCUCACGGGAAUACUAGAGAAAAUAAUAAAAUUUCUGAAUGGGGCAGCGUGGAGAAAUCCUAAGAGAAAUAGCAUAAGAGCAUUUUGGAACACAUCCAGGAAAAGAUAACUUUCGACACACCUGUAGACGUUCGCCAGGUAAAGGAGUGAUGGAAACUCUCCAGUUCAGAUCCAGUAGCUUUUAGGGAAGUGAGUCCACGUUUACCUGAGCAUGGCUGAGUGGAAUGGAACAUUGAGGGACAGAAGGCCAGGUCUCUGCUGCAGAGACCUGACAGUCAAAGGAUGCCGAGCCUAGUGUUUGAAAGCAGAUGGUGGCCAUGUGAAUCCUGGUUCUACCUCUUUCUACCUGUGUGAACCCCGGGAACUAUAGUUGCUGACUUGAGUUGAAGAAGCAUCUACUUAAUGUCUGGUCAAAUCCUACAAGAAAUACAGAAAUCUAUGAUUAAAAAGCUGAGCACUUUGAUAUACUGCAAAGGGUAGAGAAGGCAGGACGGCAGAAAUAUUCUGCAAGGAAGAAUGAAUUUCAGGAUUUAUCAUUAAAUCAGACAAAGUCAUUUAUUUAGUACCCCUGACACAGCAGGGCAAACUGAGUUGGCAUACAAGUUACCUGGAGAAAAAGAGAGCAAUUCCAGGACUUCCUCUUCAGCCCAAAAGAAGGUACCAGAUCUGUGCACUGGGGCGAUGUGGAAGAGACCUGCUUAUUGCCCCUGAUGUAAACUCCAGUAAGAAAAGACGUCAAGUACAAGUACUAGGAAAUCACUUUAUACAUCUGUUUAUAGGUUUGUAAGUACAUAAAGAUAUUAAAUGAGAGCUUUCCAAACUCAACUCAAGAGUUCAAUUCCAUUUUCUGGUCAUUUUUCUUCCUCAUUGUAUACCUGCUUAUUUCCAUUUCUAGCUCUUGCAUGUUUUCCUCCAAGUUUUGCUUUUUGGCCUCUUUAUUUUAUACAUGUCUUUUCCUAUUGCCAUUUCACCUUGCAUUCAUUCACGCCUCUCCCCAGAAAACUGGGACAUUAAGCCCUUUUCAAAAUGUUUUUUCAUGGCAUUAUUAAGAAUUAGAGACUAAGCAAGAACCACUUUCUUCUCCUUUUUAUGUAACUAUUGUACAUAAUAAGUUGAUAGUUAUCAUUUAAACUGAACUUUUUUCUUAAAGUAGUUUCAAGUUAGGGAAAAUAAGAGUGGCAGAGUUUACCCUUACUGUUCUUACUCCUAUCGAGAAGUAGAUUCUCAAAGCCAGGAAGAACCCAUUAUAGGAAUUUCAGAAUAUAUCUUCUGUCGGUUUUCAUCUAUAAUGAGGUAUAUGAUCAUGAAGUAUAUAAAUGCCCUAAGAAAUUUGGAAAGGGACAGCUUUUUAAAAAAAUAAAACCUCUGUUUUGAGAAAAGAAAUGACUCGUUAGGUUUUACAGAAUUAAUUACAAGCUUGUCAGUAGUAUUGGGGCUUAAGCAGUAAAGACGAUCAAGUCUUCUUUUCCAGGGAGAAGAAAACAAAGUUCCCAAUAAGAAGUGUAAUUUUCAAGACUGCAGUACAAAUUAGGUUGAUUUCUUGAAUCACACCAUAAUCAUGUGCCUCAUCUCUAAUUCUGGAAGACUUUGAAAGAAUGAUAAUCUACCUCCACCCCAUCCCAGGGGCCUGAACACACACACUGAAGUAGAAAUCUUUUUCCACUUCUAAUGAUCCAUUACUUGGACAAGGAACUCAUUGAACAUGAGACCUGAUUUUACAAAACUUAAACCUUUCCAUUGGCAAUUUAUUGGGGUCCAUGAGAAUAAUCCAAAUGAAGAAUACUUAAAAUAUCUACUCCCAUAGACAAGGUUCUAGAAACCAAAACCUAUUUUUGAAUUGAGAUUUAUGAGAAGAAAGAACCAUCUCCUGAGCAAUAAACU